rnacentral:rRNA from 1 species
CUGGUCGAGGACACCGCGGUGCUCGCCGCGCCCAACGAGUUCACCCAGACCGUGCUCGAGUCCCGGAUGCGCCGGGUGCUGGCCGAGGCGCUGUCGGAGCAGUUCGGCCGGGACAUCCGCGUCGCCGUGCAGCUCGAGGACGCACCGGUCGCACCGCCGGCGGAUUCCCGCGACGACGAGCCGGUCCGCCGGCCGUGGUCGGCAGCCGAGGCGCAGCGCGCCGAGGAGGACCGCGCCACCCGGGACCGGGCCGACGACGGCCGCAGCGCCUUCGGGGUGCGCACCGACGUCGUGGGAACCGCCGCGCCCUGGGACCGCCAUGCCACCGCGGAGCGGCCGGCACCCGCGGACUUCCCCCCGGUGCGCGAGCUGCACCCGGCCGACGGGCCGCAGCGUCCGCCCGUGGACCGGGGCGCCCCCGAGGACUGGAGCACCACGUGGGGGAGCGGCACCAGCGACUUCGGCGCCGGCUCCGGUGGCCGCGACUGGGGUGGCGGGGACGACCGCAGCGCCGACGUGCUGCCCUUCGACGUCGACGCGUCGGCGAGCGAACAGCGCCGAUCCGGUGGUGGCUCCGGCGCCCGUCCCCGCCGACCGGAGUCCGGCCGGCCGGCCGGGCUGGACCCCGGCCUGAACUCCAAGUACGUCUUCGACUCCUUCGUCAUCGGCAACAGCAACCGGUUCGCCCACGCCGCGGCCGUGGCCGUGGCCGAGGCGCCGGCCCGCGCCUACAACCCGCUGUUCAUCUACGGGGAGUCCGGGCUGGGCAAGACACACCUGCUGCACGCGAUCGGCCACUACGCCGCGCGGAUGUUCCCCAACGUGCGGGUGCGGUACGUGAGCACCGAGGAGUUCACCAACGAGUUCAUCAACCUGGUGCACUCCGGCCGGGCCGAGGACUUCCGCCGGCGCUACCGGGACAUCGACUUCCUGCUGAUCGACGACAUCCAGUUCCUCGAGCGCGCCGAGCGCACGCAGGAGGAGUUCUUCCACACCUUCAACACG